UUUUAGAUGAUCGGUAAAGCCACGAGUUCAACACCAAGUUCUUGGUCAAGACGCUUGAGGAAUCAGUUGAAACCAAGUUCUGCUAAAAGCAGAAGGGUAUCAAAGAAGAUUGGAGGAAUGACAGCAAAUUCAGUCUGAUUCCCAACCGUCGCCCAAAGAUAUGACUUCAAUAUGCACAUAGGCAGUCAGUAGAGUAAAUAAAGAGUCUACGGACUUAGAGUACAAUAAUCAUCCAGUCGUCCAGCUACACUAUUCAGUGAUGCUUCUGCUUCUCCCAAAGAAAUUGAGACUACGAACACAAACCAAUAAUUUGACGCAACAAUGGAAUACUGCUCAAGAUAUAAUAAGUAUGAUGCAUACAUUCAUGGAAAAGCAUGGCAACAAACAUACAAUGGAGGAAUCAAACAAUGAGGAGUAGUAAUUUGAAAUGUAUAUAAUAUUGAGACAUGAUUGCUUUUGACUUGGUUGGUUUUAGACUUGGAAUAUGUGUUUUACACUUACAUUUCAUUUGGUAGAAAGUUUUAGACUUUAAUGUAGUUUAAUAGAUGUGUUUACGCUUGUUUGAAGAUGUUGUAAUGUUUACUAGUUUGAUA